rnacentral:piRNA from 1 species
GAUGAUGAUGAUGAUAAUGACUGCUGAGUU